UACGUAGGGGGCAAGCGUUGUCCGGAUUUAUUGGGCGUAAAGAGCGUGUAGGCGGUUUGGUAGGUCCGCUGUGAGAACUCGAGGCUCAACCUCGAGACGCCGGUGGAAACCAUCAGGCUAGAGUCCGGAAGAGGAGAGUGGAAUUCCUGGUGUAGCGGUGAAAUGCGCAGAUAUCAGGAAGAACACCCGUGGCUAAGGCGGCUCUCUAGUACGGUACUGACGCUGAGACGCGAAAGCGUGGGGAGCGAACAGG
rnacentral:rRNA from 1 species